rnacentral:rRNA from 1 species
UACGAAGGGGGGCUAGCGUUGCUCGGAAUCACUGGGCGUAAAGCGCACGUAGGCGGAUUGUUAAGUCGGGGGUGAAAUCCUGGAGCUCAACUCCAGAACUGCCUUUGAUACUGGCGAUCUCGAGUCCGGGAGAGGUGAGUGGAACUGCGAGUGUAGAGGUGAAAUUCGUAGAUAUUCGCAAGAACACCAGUGGCGAAGGCGGCUCACUGGCCCGGUACUGACGCUGAGGUGCGAAAGCGUGGGGAGCAAACAGG